GAACUUUCACGAACCUUCUCCUUGCACUACAAGGUUCUCUUCCAUUUUUUCUGUCUAUCACAGUUCACAACCUACGAAGAACUACAAUUAUGAUUGUUGGUGACCAUAAAAAGCUAGGUGCCUGUUGUUAGCCAUGCGUGAGCCUGCUCGUUUGUGGUUUGCUGUGGAGAAACUUAAAUCCAUUCAUAAACCAAAAGGAAGAUGGGUUGGAACUAUGACGCCUAGAAGACAAGUAAACAAUGAUGCCAGGGAAGGACAGAUUGAGAAGGAAAAUCACGACCCUGUUGUUGCUUUCAGCAGACCGCCACCACUUCCGCCUUUCAUUGGACCUCUGAUUGCUCUUUCGUUGUUGCAAUCAUGGUCCAAACGGGAUGGCAACGAUGACUGAAAAUAGUUGUUGUGUCCUUAUAUGUUGUUGUUAGGUAUGGAAUGCUAUCUUGAAAGUAGAUCGAGUUGGAAGCGAUGGCCAUAUAUAUGUAGAGAAGCCUCGAAAGGUUUGUAUUUUAAUGUGAGAUAAUGAUAAAUAAAUAAGAUAGAUAUUGCGUGCA